ACCUUCUUGAUUAGGUGCUUCGCUGAAGUUUGCAGCUAUCUAUUACCUUACGUAAGCAUAUUCCACAAUGAUUUUCCAUUAUUUUGGUUCCUUAUCUAUACUUCAGCGAUUUCUUUUUCUCAUCCUUUUUUUGAUUUGUUUGUAUUCACGGGUUUUGUGGGUUUUUUCACUCUUCCUGUUUCAGCCGCUAUUUGUUGUUGUUUUUAUCACUGCCCUUCCCCUCAUCUUUGCCUCAUCUUAGCGAGCGUGCUAUGCAAGAUUUUAACUGCUAUAUUUGCCAUGAUCAACUGAUUUUCUCAGAGUAGUUCUCCCUCUGAAAAAUUCUGUUUAAGACUGAAUUCAUAAUGUUCAGUUCUUUCUCAUCCCUUCGACCAUAAUUUGAGCCAUAAUUGUAAAGUGAUAUUUGCUUGUCUGUAUAGGUAGUACCAGAGUUUUAUUCACAUUCACAAAAAUGGAUAAGUAAAGAAGGAACUUCAACUCGCUGAAAACUGUAUUUAUGCUUACCAGUUCCCCUAAGAUGAAGUGAUUUUUGUAGCAUUCUCACUCACAUUUCAAAAGAAGAAAAAAGUGUUUCUUUGCCUUCUCUUUUCUAACCCUCCUGCCAUUAUACGUGGUGAAAAGUUUGAGUGCUGUCACACUUUCACCUAAACCACCAAUAUAGAUUCUUAUGGUUUCGUUGAUGCAUUGCCUCCUUCACCCGUCUCCAUCUCUUCCGGUGCUGUUAUGUUCAACUCAAUCAAGCUCUUUGGUUGAAGUUAUGCUGCCAGCGAAUAAUGUCCACUAAUCGGGGUAGCAAUUGGGUGUGAAAUAGGAAUGUUAUGAGAUUUCCUCAAGAAUGUGAAAUUUUAUAUACUUCAAUAUUUUGUCGAUUCAAAUUCAUUGUCUGCCUUUUAGUAUUUUAAAUGCAGAUAAUUUCCUACAAAAAGCUUGCGGAGAAAUGUCUCCAACAAACCAAAUAAACUAUCACGUACAGAAGAACAAAUUUAUCAAAUGAAACUCAAAAGGCGUGAUGCUUAUAUAAAGAUAAAAGCUGAUAAAAAAAACAGGCGAUAUUAGCAGAGAGGCACACCAGAGAAUUACGAAAAGGUAAAUCACGUGUUCUCCGUCCAACUGAAGAAACAAAGCGAUAUUGCGCCCCUUUAUUAUCAAGGCAAACUGCUCUUACUAUAAAAGAGCCCUCUUCUAUUAAUAUCAAGAAAAAGGAUGCUAUGAAAUUAGUUCUUCUAACAAAAGAGAACAAGUCCUCCCACCUUUCUAUGUAUUUGAAAAAGGCUCAACAUCCGGCACAUGUAGGGAACAACAAAAUGUCACUCCUGAGGUCAUUUCUAUCUCAAACUCUACAUCCAACGCAUGUACAGAUUAACAAAAUGUCACUUCUAAAAAGUCGCUACAGAGAAAGGUUGGUAUUCAUUUUAUACGGAAGUAAUUUCUCCUAUUACUUCAUUAGAAUGUCAGAUUAUACUCAGUUUUGACAGUACUUAUGACAUACAGGUAAUAGGCUAAAAGCAAACUCCCAUUAAAAAAUUAAUGAUAAUCGAUCUGCUUAUACAUGCUUAAAAGAUGUUCCCAACUGUAAGUUUUGUCAGGCAAAAAGAUUUCAGUAUGAAUCGCCUGGCUUUUGUUGUGGUAAUGGCUCAAUUAAAUUAGUUUCAUACCAACUAUCUGAUGACUUAUCCGAUCUGUAUAUGGGAAAUACUGAAGAAUCUAUGCACUUCCGAACUUACAUUAGAAC